GACGAACGCUGGCGGCGUGCUUAACACGUGCAAGUCGAACGGAAAGGCCCUGCUUUUGUGGGGUGCUCGAGUGGCGAACGGGUGAGUAACACGUGAGUAACCUGCCCUUGACUUUGGGAUAACUUCAGGAAACUGGGGCUAAUACCGGAUAGGAGCUCCUGCUGCAUGGUGGGGGUUGGAAAGUUUCGGCGGUUGGGGAUGGACUCGCGGCUUACCAGCUUGUUGGUGGGGUAGUGGCUUACCAAGGCUUUGACGGGUAGCCGGCCUGAGAGGGUGACCGGCCACAUUGGGACUGAGAUACGGCCCAGACUCCUACGGGAGGCAGCAGUGGGGAAUAUUGCACAAUGGGCGGAAGCCUGAUGCAGCAACGCCGCGUGCGGGAUGACGGCCUUCGGGUUGUAAACCGCUUUCGCCUGUGACGAAGCGUGAAUGACGGUAAUGGGUAAAGAAGCACCGGCUAACUACGUG
rnacentral:rRNA from 1 species